UACGAAGGGGGCUAGCGUUGUUCGGAAUUACUGGGCGUAAAGGGCGCGUAGGCGGCCUUCUAAGUCAGACGUGAAAUCCCCCGGCUUAACCUGGGAACUGCGUCUGAUACUGGGAGGCUUGAGUAUGGGAGAGGGAUGUAGAAUUCCAGGUGUAGCGGUGAAAUGCGUAGAUAUCUGGAGGAAUACCGGUGGCGAAGGCGGCCUCCUGGACCAUAACUGACGCUGAGGCGCGAAAGCUAGGGGAGCAAACGGG
rnacentral:rRNA from 1 species